UUCGAUUACGAUGACGAGCCAGAAGCUGU
rnacentral:piRNA from 1 species